GAGACUCCCGAAGGGCAAAAAGGAAUAUACCCAAACAACAAUGAAAACCGAAUAGGCAAAACACAUGAUAUACUUCACACAGUACACAAUCCACAAUACAGUAAACAAAUAAAAACUGUUUUCAAAGCACUCCAGAUCAUAUAAAGAACCUCACAUAGAACUAAACUGCUACUUGUGAAUCAUUAAGUAAACCAGUAGGUCCUUCUUAGCUGGAAGCCACAGGCUGAGUACUGAACACCUUAGCAAUCUUCUCUGUAGGUACCAAUGGAAGAUAUGAAGCAACCUUGUAUCCCUUCUCUGCUGUUUGCUGAACCAUCACAUUGUAUUUCUCGGAAUAGUAAGCAGCUGUUGGAACAACCGCUUGAGUAACUUUAGGAACAAUGGGAAAUUUGUUGAGAGAGAGCCAAGCUGAUGCAGCAUACUGCUCGGCCAUUGGCUCGUAUUUGGUGUAAAGUCCCUUAGCGGUGGGCUCAUACUUGGCAUAGACUGUUUUAGCAAGUCCU
rnacentral:misc_RNA from 1 species